rnacentral:lncRNA from 1 species
UCACUCCAACACAGCCUCCCUUGAGGAAGAUGAAGUAUUUGUCCCCAAGAAAAAAUCUAACACCCGUUGGUUCGCCAGAUACCUUAACAACCCACUAGGCCGUCUCCUUACACUUAUUAUUACUCUUACCCUUGGCUGGCCUCUGUACCUAUUAUUCAAUGUCUCAGGCAGGCAUUAUGAUCGCUUUGCCUGCCACUAUGACCCAUAUGGACCUAUCUACACUGACCGUGAGAGGGCUGAGAUAUUCAUAUCUGAUGCUGGUGUUAUUGCAGUCGCCUAUGGUCUCUUCCGUAUUGCUGCAGCGAAGGGGCUUGCUUGGGUAGUCUGUGUUUAUGGAGUUCCUUUGUUGGUGGUGAAUGC